GAAUCCCAGCCAGGGUCUGCUGUCAGCACAGGACCUGUCUCAGGACUCCCAACUCGCCAACCGUGAAAUCAUGACCUGAGCCAAAAUCAAGAGUCAGAAGCUUAACCAAGUGAGUCACCCAAGCGCCCUUCAAUAAAUAUUUUGAAUAAAUAGUUGUUGAAUUCAAAAUAAUUGAAUAUUUUCAUAAUGCCAGUGUUAUAACUCUAUCUUUAAAAUCUCUGUGUUGUGACUGUUCAUACACUGGGUUUUAACCAAGUCACUGCCAAGAUGAAUGGUUUUCUCUUGGAAUUACAAUGCUGUGUCGGAAAAACAUUAGAAUAAAAUUCAAAAGAGUACGGUUCUGAUUCAGACCACCACUUAUUUCAUUUAGUGAUUUUUGAGACAAAUCCCACAGACUCUGUGUCAGUUCAGCUAUCAAAUGAAUAUACAAGGACAAAUCCUAUGCUUAAUGUUUUAUACAUAUUUUUGUAUUCAUGAUUUUACCUUGACACUGAUGUUAACAAGCUAUUGAAGGGUUUCAUUGGUAUCAAACACAACUGAAUCUUGACCUAACUAUAGAUUGACUGACGUUAAGUAAGCUAAAUGGUCUCCUCAAGAUUCUAUGCCUACGUCUUCAUUUUAAAAUGAGUUCAUAUACUUAUAGUUCAUUUCUCAUCAGAUUGCUGUGAAGUCAAAAGUGAAAAAGCAUGUAAAGUGCCUUGCACAAAGCCUUCAUAUAAAAGGGAGUUAUCUUCAAGUCUCAGCUAUCCCUUUAACAAGGCUCACUCUGCUUUUCUCUUUUUCCAAGGAAAAACACACGUUGUAAAAUAAGCAUUCUUCAAAGACAACCUGAAGACGUCUGGGAAUUCCAAAGGCUGAAAAUUCCAUGAGUUCAUAGAAGCUUUCACUAAUUCCACAGACUUAAAGACAAAAGAGAGAGAGUCAACUGUGUGCCCAAACUCAUUUCUGAUGAUUUCUUCCAUCCUACCCUUUCUGCCUCUCUGGGGGUGGCUGUGCCUGUAAAAAACAUUGAAGUUGUCAGGAACAGAGUCUGCUUUCAGGACUGGAAUGUCAGAGGAGAGACUUCUGUUCCUCAGACCAGAAGAGACUUGAUCUGAUCGUGGACUACAGACAGCACAAGACUAUGAUCCCUAAGAAAAAGAAAACAGAUGAGAUUUGUAUUCUCUGAUGUCUCCCUUUUCCUACACUUGGUGCUUCUCUGAUUUAAUUGUUUGGAAGCAGUCACUGGAAGCAAGGCUAUGUGACUCAGCUUUGGUGAUGCAGUCCAGCUGGGGUCUGACAGUCUGAAAUUGUGGUGCACACACCUUUGCUCUGAGCAGAGUCCCCACCACAGCUAUGAAUGGGGGGGGUCUGGGAGAGAAACACCCUCUCUUGUCAGAAUGAGCACAACCCCGAAGAAAACAUCACAACCCCGAAGGAAAUUACCGACAUCUUAAGGAAAUGGUUCUGACUGAGGUCUUCCAACAUGCAAUGCUAUGUGCUGACUCAGGGAAAACUUAAGGCAACAUGCUGAAAACAUUUACAGGCCUGGAAAAUAACUGGUUUAAUAAUUCAAGAUGCUUUUAAGUUACAAAAAGAAUACUUAAAAACAAAUAAACCUCCCUUUCCAAAAGC